GAAAAUCUAUAUCCGGAUGUCCCUCUGAUAAAAUUGGAACGAUAUAGAGAAGAUUAGCAUGGCACCCGACGUAAGGAUGGCAAGCAUAAAUCGAGAAAUGGUUCACAAGCAA
rfam:Medicago truncatula strain A17 chromosome 4, whole genome shotgun sequence.